CUGGGAUUUAACUACGCAAAAUGUAGUUAAGGAGUUUUAUACAACCGGCUCCUGAUCGUUUUAGUCGGACUCGUGAGUGUCAUUGAAACAAGCCAUCGCAGGACAUCGUAUCGUGAAUUAAACGCUGAUACGAUAUGACAAGGCCACGUCUGAAAACAUCAAUAAUUCAAACAUGCACUUGAUUUUAAUACUACAGAAGUUAGCAGACAGUGAUUCCAGGUGCUAUGAAAUCGCGGGAAAGGACUGGAA